UGGAGCGGUGAUUUGUGGAGACGUGGAGGAGACGUGUGCUGAUGUGCUCAGAUAUCACGAUGGUGUACUGCUGAUUGAUGAGGACUCUAACCAGUGAGCUCUUCCUGCCGGCCCGUUUCCCGUUCAGGGUGCUGGUGCUAGCUGUGGUACCACAAACCCCUCUUCAACGGAGAAGCUGAGUUUUCCUGUCCGUGCUGUUGGAGUCUUGGGACUGCAGCCUUUACUCUCGCAGAGAUGCCAGGAAAUACUGCUUCACUUCACCAAGGUAAUCUGCCCAGCAGACACAGUGACAAACGACUCCCGGUGACAUGCCCCCACCCCCCCUCUGCUCUCAGGCCGAGACGGAAUCAGUCACAUGGCCAAAUCAGCCCUCAGCACUGUAUGGCUUUGCUCCGGUGCUGGUGCUCCUGUCUGUUUCUCCAAGCUGGGGGU